rnacentral:rRNA from 1 species
UAUUAAUGAUAAAUUCGACCGUACUGUAAACCGACACAGGUGGGUGAGUCGAGGAGACUAAGGCGUUCGAGAGAACUCUCGUUAAGGAACUAGGCAAAUGAGCCCCGUAACUUCGGGAUAAGGGGCGCCAGCGCAAGCUGGCCGCAGCGAAGCAGCCCAGGCGACUGUUUACCAAAAACACAGGUCUCUGCUAACACGAAAGUGGAUGUAUAGGGGCUGACGCCCGCCCAAUGCCAGUAGGUUAACAGGAGAUGUCAGGAGUAAUCCGAAGCAUUGAAUCGAAGCCCUGGUGAAUGGCGGCCGUAACUCUAACGGUCCUAAGGUAGCGAAAUUCCUUGUCGGCUAAAUACCGACCCGCAUGAAAGGCGUAACGACUUGGGCACUGUCUCAACGAGAAGCUCGGUGAAAUUGUAGCACCCGUGAAGAUGCGGGUUACGCGCAGUAGGACGGAAAGACCCCGUGGAGCUUUACUACACCCUGUCACUGCGAAUUGGGUGUAGAUGUAGAGAGUAGGUGGGAGCUUAGGCACCAAUGGAACACCACCCUUCUACAUCUGGUUCGCUAACCGUCACCAUUAUCUGGUGACGAGACAAUGACAGGCGGGUAGUUUGACUGGGGCGGUCGCCUCCCAAAAGGUAACGGAGGCGCCUAAAGUUGCACUCAGGCUGGUUGGAAAUCAGCCGUCGAGCGUAUAGGUAUAUAGUGCGAUUGACUGCGAGACAAACAGGUCGAGCAGGGACGAAAGUCGAGCUAAGUGACCCUCUGGUGGUGCGUGGGCACGCCAGGGUUCAUCGGAUAUAAGCUACCCCGGGGAUAACAGGCUGAUCUUGCCCGAGCGCUCACAGCGACGGCAUGGUUUGGCACCUCGAUGUCGGCUCGUCUCAUCCUGGGGCUGUACACGGUCCCAAGGGUUCCGGAGUUCACGGAUUAAAGAGGCACGCGAGCUGGGUUCAGAACGGCGUGAGCCAGUUCGGUCCCUAUCCACUGCGCGCGGAGGAAAUUUGAGAGGACUCGCUCCUAGUACGAGAGGACCGGAGUGAACCGACCUCUGGUGUACCUGUUGUGCCGCCAGGCGCAUACGCAGGGUAGCCACGUCGGGUCGUGAUAAGCGCUGAAAGCAUCUAAGCGCCAAGCACACCUCAAGAUGAGAUUUCCCAUCGAAAGAGUAAGGCCCCCGGAAGACUACCGGGUUGAUAGGUCGCAGGUGUGAGCGCAGUAAUGUGUUAAGCUGAGCGAUACUAAUUGGCCGAGGGCUC